AUUCCUACGGGAGGCAGCAGUGGGGAAUUUUGGACAAUGGGGGAAACCCUGAUCCAGCAAUGCCGCGUGUGCGAAGAAGGCCUUCGGGUUGUAAAGCACUUUUGUCAGGGAAGAAAUCCUUUGGGCUAAUACCCUAGGGGGAUGACGGUACCUGAAGAAUAAGCACCGGCUAACUACGUGCCAGCAGCCGCGGUAAUACGUAGGGUGCAAGCGUUAAUCGGAAUUACUGGGCGUAAAGCGUGCGCAGGCGGUUGUGUAAGACAGGUGUGAAAUCCCCGGGCUUAACCUGGGAAUUGCAUUUGUGACUGCACGACUAGAGUGUGUCAGAGGGGGGUGGAAUUCCACGUGUAGCAGUGAAAUGCGUAGAUAUGUGGAGGAACACCAAUGGCGAAGGCAGCCCCCUGGGAUAACACUGACGCUCAUGCACGAAAGCGUGGGGAGCAAACAGGAUUAGAUACCCUGGUAGUCCACGCCCUAAACGAUGUCAACUAGUUGUUGGGGAUUUACUUCCUUGGUAACGUAGCUAACGCGUGAAGUUGACCGCCUGGGGAGUACGGCCGCAAGGUUAAAACUCAAAGGAAUUGACGGAAU
rnacentral:rRNA from 1 species